rnacentral:rRNA from 1 species
UGUGUUGUUGGGUAGGGGAGCGUUCUGUAAGCCUGUGAAGGUGUACUGUGAGGUAUGCUGGAGGUAUCAGAAGUGCGAAUGCUGACAUAAGUAACGAUAAAGCGGGUGAAAAGCCCGCUCGCCGGAAGACCAAGGGUUCCUGUCCAACGUUAAUCGGGGCAGGGUGAGUCGACCCCUAAGGCGAGGCCGAAAGGCGUAGUCGAUGGGAAACAGGUUAAUAUUCCUGUACUUGGUGUUACUGCGAAGGGGGGACGGAGAAGGCUAUGUUGGCCGGGCGACGGUUGUCCCGGUUUAAGCGUGUAGGCUGGUUUUCCAGGCAAAUCCGGAAAAUCAAGGCUGAGGCGUGAUGACGAGGCACUACGGUGCUGAAGCAACAAAUGCCCUGCUUCCAGGAAAAGCCUCUAAGCAUCAGGUAACAUCAAAUCGUACCCCAAACCGACACAGGUGGUCAGGUAGAGAAUACCAAGGCGCUUGAGAGAACUCGGGUGAAGGAACUAGGCAAAAUGGUGCCGUAACUUCGGGAGAAGGCACGCUGAUAUGUAGGUGAAGUCCCUCGCGGAUGGAGCUGAAAUCAGUCGAAGAUACCAGCUGGCUGCAACUGUUUAUUAAAAACACAGCACUGUGCAAACACGAAAGUGGACGUAUACGGUGUGACGCCUGCCCGGUGCCGGAAGGUUAAUUGAUGGGGU